AUAUUUCUCCUAGGUUCUCUGAUGAACCAGGUCCUUGGUGGCAAACCCCUUGCCUUUUUUUCCACCUUGCACUUCUGCGUGAUCGACCCGGUUGUUUCCAUAUAAAAAGCUUCCUUUUCUUUUCAUCAAUGAAGUUUAAUGGACAACAUUCUUUGAAUGAAAAAUUUAACACUACUGCACAAUGAAGAACCAGACAUCGUAAGGCAACACAACUAGUGGAAGGGCGGACGGCUUUACCCAGACCACUCCAGAUGUGCUGCAGUUACUCCACACAACCUUCAAAUGCCGUUUCAGAUGUUCGUCCAAACAUGUCUACCUUUUACAAGGGUGGGGGAGAAAUCCUGUUUGCCCAUAAACCAACCAAACAAACCCCAACAGUUCUCUGUGUGCGUACAGGACUCCCCGAGCCUGACAGUGCCUGUGGUUUGCACUGUAACUGCUCUGGAAGAUGAAACACAGUCGGUUUCUGCCGGCAGCGUUUCCAUACGAAGAAGCGAUCACCACUAUGGGGGGGGAAAGGAGGAGCAGGCGGACGGGCGCUGCCGGCUCUCCCGGUGCCGCAGCGCCACCCCGCGGCUCCCGGCGCCGCCUGCAGGCGCUGCCCUAUCCACGCCGCGGGUUGUGAGUGUCAAGAGGAGGAUUUCCCUGAGCUUCGGUGCUCCUGACCCGCGGGAACGGGACAAAUCUAAACCUUUAAAGGGCGUAACGAGCCUUUGCAGCGUGUUCGAGCAGGGUUUAAUAAGACCUGACCUAAUUACUCUGAAGCUUUGCCGUAUUUCACUUCUACUUGCCCCACCAGCAUCCUUGUCUCUUGUCCAUUUCAGCUGGAGUUGAUUGGGAAUUCCCAGGCAGAGGACCUGAACAUCUCAUCUGGUGAUUUAUUAGGUUGUCCUCGGAGCUCCCUAGCCAGGCAGGUGCCCCUGGGCUGUCCAUCACCUGAGGAAGAGGGUCUGGUGCCCAGGAAACCCAAUGCCCAGCUCUCCCCCUAUAAGAACUGCCUCUAAACACAGCAUCAUGUUUCCCCCAAAGCUGAAUUCCAUGAAAUUUCCGCUUCUCUGUGAUUCCUUUGCAUUCCUGGGUUUCAUACGCAAUACAACAAAAAGAAUUUUGGAGGAAAAUCAAGGUGGGUUUUCAUAAGUAGCAAUGCAUGCAUGUGCUUUUUCUCUGCAGCAGAUUGUGCAUAACCUGUAGAAGGUGACUUUAUUUCUGGAAAGCUGACUUAUGGAACAGCAAAUGGAUGGAUAGCUGAUCCCCAGGGAUAAAAUAGUUUUGGUUUAUGGGAAUCAUAUCAGAACUUGAAGAAGGGAAAAUUCUCUCCUGGAAAGAUAAGGUACUGUUGAAUGGUAAUCAGAAAUAUUGGCUGUUUUAUACAUGAACAAUUCUUAGGGUUUGUUUUAAGCAAAGCUGGUUUUUUCUGUAUCUUCUGUGUGACCCAAAGCUUGCAAUAUUUCGCAUAUAACUUAGCGUGUGUCUUACAGUGGUCAUUUUAUGUCCUAUUAAGGUCUUACCUCUAAUUAACACUUAUGAUAUCAUAAAUAAAGCCAUUAGGAAGCUCUAGAAGUAUUGUUGUCCAGUCCUGUGGCCCUCAUCACCUCUUCAG